GAUGAACGCUGGCGGCGUGCUUAACACAUGCAAGUCGAACGGAAAGGCCACAGCUUGCUGUGGUACUCGAGUGGCGAACGGGUGAGUAACACGUGGGUGAUCUGCCCUGUACUUCGGGAUAAGCUUGGGAAACUGGGACUAAUACCGGAUAGGAAUCACAUGUGGGUGUGUGGUUGGAAAGCUUUUGCGGUAUGGGAUGAGCUCGCGGCCUAUCAGCUUGUUGGUGGGGUAAUGGCCUACCAAGGCGUCGACGGGUAGCCGGCCUGAGAGGGUGUACGGCCACAUUGGGACUGAGAUACGGCCCAGACUCCUACGGGAGGCAGCAGUGGGGAAUAUUGCACAAUGGGCGCAAGCCUGAUGCAGCGACGCCGCGUGGGGGAUGACGGCCUUCGGGUUGUAAACUCCUUUCGUCAGGGACGAAGCGAAAGUGACGGUACCUGGAUAAGAAGCACCGGCUAACUACGUG
rnacentral:rRNA from 1 species